rnacentral:rRNA from 1 species
GAACGCUGGCGGCGUGCUUAACACAUGCAAGUCGACCGGAAAGGCCCUGCUUUUGUGGGGUGCUCGAGUGGCGAACGGGUGAGUAACACGUGAGUAACCUGCCCUUGACUUUGGGAUAACUUCAGGAAACUGGGGCUAAUACCGGAUAGGAGCUCCUGCUGCAUGGUGGGGGUUGGAAAGUUUCGGCGGUUGGGGAUGGACUCGCGGCUUAUCAGCUUGUUGGUGGGGUAGUGGCUUACCAAGGCUUUGACGGGUAGCCGGCCUGAGAGGGUGACCGGCCACAUUGGGACUGAGAUACGGCCCAGACUCCUACGGGAGGCAGCAGUGGGGAAUAUUGCACAAUGGGCGGAAGCCUGAUGCAGCAACGCCGCGUGCGGGAUGACGGCCUUCGGGUUGUAAACCGCUUUCGCCUGUGACGAAGCGUGAGUGACGGUAAUGGGUAAAGAAGCACCGGCUAACUACGUG